CCUACGGGAGGCAGCAGUAGGGAAUCUUCCGCAAUGGACGAAAGUCUGACGGAGCAACGCCGCGUGAGCGAAGAAGGCCUUCGGGUCGUAAAGCUCUGUUGUCAGAGAAGAACAAGUACCGGAGUAACUGCCGGUACCUUGACGGUACCUGACCAGAAAGCCACGGCUAACUACGUGCCAGCAGCCGCGGUAAUACGUAGGUGGCAAGCGUUGUCCGGAAUUAUUGGGCGUAAAGCGCGCGCAGGCGGUCCUUUAAGUCUGAUGUGAAAGCCCACGGCUCAACCGUGGAGGGUCAUUGGAAACUGGGGGACUUGAGUGCAGAAGAGGAGAGCGGAAUUCCACGUGUAGCGGUGAAAUGCGUAGAGAUGUGGAGGAACACCAGUGGCGAAGGCGGCUCUCUGGUCUGUAACUGACGCUGAGGCGCGAAAGCGUGGGGAGCAAACAGGAUUAGAUACCCUGGUAGUCCACGCCGUAAACGAUGAGUGCUAAGUGUUAGAGGGUUUCCGCCCUUUAGUGCUGCAGCAAACGCAUUAAGCACUCCGCCUGGGGAGUACGGCCGCAAGGCUGAAACUCAAAGGAAUUGACGG
rnacentral:rRNA from 1 species